rnacentral:rRNA from 1 species
GAUGCUCCGGUUGGAUGCAUGUCCUUCCGGGAAAGAUUCCAUCGGUAUGGGAUGGGGUCGCGUCCUAUCAGCUUGAUGGCGGGGUAACGGCCCACCAUGGCUUCGACGGGUAGCCGGCCUGAGAGGGCGACCGGCCACAUUGGGACUGAGAUACGGCCCAGACUCCUACGGGAGGCAGCAGUGGGGAAUAUUGCACAAUGGGCGCAAGCCUGAUGCAGCGACGCCGCGUGCGGGAUGGAGGCCUUCGGGUUGUAAACCGCUUUUGAUCGGGAGCAAGCCCUUCGGGGUGAGUGUACCUUUCGAAUAAGCACCGGCUAACUACGUGCCAGCAGCCGCGGUAAUACGUAGGGUGCAAGCGUUAUCCGGAAUUAUUGGGCGUAAAGGGCUCGUAGGCGGUUCGUCGCGUCCGGUGUGAAAGCCCAUCGCUUAACGGUGGGUCUGCGCCGGGUACGG